UCCUACGGGAGGCAGCAGUAGGGAAUCUUCCGCAAUGGACGAAAGUCUGACGGAGCAGCGCCGCGUGAGUGAUGAAGGUUUUCGGAUCGUAAAGCUCUGUUGUUAAGGAAGAACAAGUGCGAGAGUAACUGCUCGCACCUUGACGGUACCUAACCAGAAAGCCACGGCUAACUACGUGCCAGCAGCCGCGGUAAUACGUACGUGGCAAGCGUUGUCCGGAAUUAUUGGGCGUAAAGGGCUCGCAGGCGGUUUCUUAAGUCUGAUGUGAAAGCCCCCGGCUCAACCGGGGAGGGUCAUUGGAAACUGGGAAACUUGAGUGCAGAAGAGGAGAGUGGAAUUCCACGUGUAGCGGUGAAAUGCGUAGAGAUGUGGAGGAACACCAGUGGCGAAGGCGACUCUCUGGUCUGUAACUGACGCUGAGGAGCGAAAGCGUGGGGAGCGAACAGGAUUAGAUACCCUGGUAGUCCACGCCGUAAACGAUGAGUGCUAAGUGUUAGGGGGUUUCCGCCCAUUAGUGCUGCAGCUAACGCAUUAAGCACUCCGCUUGGGGAGUACGGUCGCAAGACUGAAACUCAAAGGAAUUGACGGGGGCCCGCACAAGCGGUGGAGCAUGUGGUUUAAUUCGAAGCAACGCGAAGAACCUUACCAGGUCUUGACAUCCUCUGACAACCCUAGAGAUAGGGCUUUCCCUUCGGGGACAGAGUGACAGGUGGUGCAUGGUUGUCGUCAGCUCGUGUCGUGAGAUGUUGGGUUAAGUCCCGCAACGAGCGCAACCCUUGAUGUUAGUUGCCAGCAUUUAGUUGGGCACUCUAAGGUGACUGCCGGUGACAAACCGGAGGAAGGUGGGGAUGACGUCAAAUCAUCAUGCCCCUUAUGACCUGGGCUACACACGUGCUACAAUGGACAGAACAAAGGGUUGCGAGACCGCAAGGUUUAGCCAAUCCCAUAAAUCUGU
rnacentral:rRNA from 2 species